GAUGAACGCUGGCGGCGUGCUUAACACAUGCAAGUCGAACGGUGAACACGGAGCUUGCUCUGUGGGAUCAGUGGCGAACGGGUGAGUAAAACGUGAGCAACCUGCCCCUGACUCUGGGAUAAGAGCUGGAAACGGCGUAUAUAACUGGAUAUGUGACGUUACAGCAUGGUCUGCAUAUGGAAAGAUUGUUCGGUCGGGGAUGGGCGCGCGGCUUAUCAGUUUGUUGGUGAGGUAAUGGCGUACCAAGGCGCCGACGGAUCGCCGGCCUGAGAGGGUGACCGGCCACACUGGGACUGCGAGACGGCCCAGACGCCUACGGUAGGCAGCAGUGGGGAAUAUGGCACAGUGGGGGCAAGCCUGAUGCAGCGACGCCGCGUGCGGGAUGACGGCCUUCGGGGUGUAAACCUCUUUUAGCAGGGAAGAAGCGAAAGUGACGGUACCUGCAGAAAAAGCGCCGGCUAACUACGUG
rnacentral:rRNA from 1 species